GAUGUAGAACGUAGUGAAAUGCGAUAAGUAAUGUGAAUUGCAGAAUUCAGUGAAUCAUCGAAUCUUUGAACGCACAUUGCGCCCGCUAGUAUUCUGGCGGGCAUGCCUGUCCGAGCGUCAUUUCAACCCUCAAGCCCCCGGGCUUGGUGUUGGGGAUCGGCGAGCCUCCGCGCCCGCCGUCCCCUAAAUCUAGUGGCGGUCUCGCUGUAGCUUCCUCUGCGUAGUAGCACACCUCGCACUGGGAAACAGCGCGGCCACGCCGUUAAACCCCCAACUUCUGAACGUUUGACCUCGGAUCAGGUAGGAAUACCCGCUGAACUUAAGCAUAUCAAUAAGCGGAGGA
rnacentral:misc_RNA from 1 species